rnacentral:lncRNA from 1 species
UAAUAGUUAAUUUAUUGAUAUCAUCCAUCAAUAACUACUUUUGCUUGUAACAACCUUUAUUUUUUAAUACCGUAUAAACAACCUUCACUUAUCGUUGUAGAAGAACGGCACCACCGAGUUAGAAAUCUUUUAUUUUUUUUAAUACCGUAUAAACAGCCUUCACUUAUCGUUGCAGGAGAACGGCACCACCGAGUUAGAAAUCGAGCAAGAGAACUAUCACCAGAGAGAGGUAGGGUUGUGGUAUUGAAAGAGAGGAGGUUGUGUUCAAAUGAUCCAAAACCCUACAACCUAUAAGGAUAUUUAUAGGUGCAGAGAGACGUGUGCUGCUCUUUCCCAUAAUUAAAUAAUCUGAAAUAAAAUCAGAUUAAAACUUUCAAGCUACUAUGUUCCAUAAAUAAUCUGAAACAAAAGUCAGAUUCUGAAACUUGCUUCUAAUAUAUCCGAAACUAAAAAAGGUAGUUCUAAUUUUUGAUAUUUUUCAUCCAAAAUUUUAGAAAAUUAGGAAAAUAGAACGGAGCGAUGUGAGGCGUCAGUUACACGCCCCUAGCUCACUUUUCCUUUAUAUAAGUAAGAGAGACUUGUGUGCUACUCUUUCAUAAUCUGAAACAAAAUCAGAUUAAAACUUUCAAGCUAUUAUAUUUCAUAAAUAAUCUGAAACAAAAUCAAAUUCUGAAACUUGCUUCUAAUAUAUCCGAAACUAAAAAAAGUAGUUCUAAUAUUUGAUAUUUUUCAUCCAAAAAUUUCAGAAAAUUAGAAAAAUAGAACGAAGCGAUGCGAGAGGCGCCACAUACACGCCACUCGCUUCUUCUUUAUAUAAGUAUAUUGAUUGAUGAUUGUUUCUAAUAUACCCGAAAGUAAAAUAGGUAGUUCUAAGUUUUGAUAUUUUUCAUCCAAAAGUUUCUGAAAAUUAGAAAAAUAGAACGGAGUGAUGUGAGAGACGUCACAUACACCCCCCCCUCGCUUCCCCUUUAUAUAAGUAUAUUGAUUUAGAAAUCGAUUUAAAAUUAAAAAUGAAUUAGAAAUAUUAGUAAGAAGGUUUUGUUUGAAUAAUUUAAUUUAUUUUAAUAAUUUUACAUGAUAAAGUUAUAUCAUUUAAAUAGAUAUCAUAUCACACUUGUUAUAGUUACUAUUAUAUUUUUCAUAAAUCAAAAGUUAUUUUAUGAGGCUGAAGUUCAAGGGCCCAGAUAAAUUUGAUGGACGUGGGAACUUCUCUUUAACAAAGGGGUUGGGCCGGGCCAGAAACAGAACAGCCAUAACCCGAACCUUUUACACACACACAUAUAUAUACAACAUUAAACCCUAGCCACACAGGCCUGUGGAGACGCCAUUCUCCAUCUCCCCCAACCCCAAAUAUUUUCACACAUAACUGAUAGUCUAGUAAACUUAUGAUUAUGUGUAGUUCGAUAUAUGUUUAUAUGCAUAUGAGUGAUGUAUGAUUAAUUGGAAGCCAGUGAUGAGAAGGUAUUAGCCAUGAGCUGCAACAAUAUUUGCGCACCCAUAAUAUGAUGGGGUUGUUGAUGCUGAGAUGAAUGUGGCAAUAUGCUAAUCUGAGGCCGAGCUUACAAACACACGCAUAAGUUUAAAGGAAUAAUAUUCUGCUAAUUGGUCGUAUUCAUCGGAAAUUUUCCGGUUAAUGUUAGUUGGGCUUAAGUUGUGGUGUCCGGGAUAAAUUGAUAGGGAUUUUUGUGCUGAUUUUUGCUGCGUUACAGAGGCAGAGUAUGACCACCGUCCGCCGGUCAUAGGCCGAAUGAAUUGCUAGCGAAUACCAGGGGAUUAUCUGUUCAUUCUUCAUCUUUUAAUCAUGUUUUUUUGGCUUAAAAUUGAAAAUUGCUUACAACCUGCUCUUUAAACCCAGACAUCUCAUAUUCCCAAUUGAUUUUUUUUACUGACUUUAUUCAAUACUCCCUCCGUCUUAAUUUAUAGGUCCUGUUUGGAAAAAAAAAUUGUCCCAAAAUACUUGUCCUUCUCUUCUUUCAAUACAAAUUUAUCUACAUAUUAAUUGUGAUUUUUUUGAAACUCGACAUUAUUCUCAUUUCUCAAUGCACUAAAUCCUUAUAUUUAUUGUGAUUUUUUUGAAACUCAACUAUAUUCUCACUUUAUCAAUACACUAAUCAAUGAUACAUUAGAUAAGAUUCUACUCCCUCCGUCCCCUUUUACAUGUCUCUUUUGAAAAAAAAAUUUGUCCCAAAUUACUUGUCCACUUCUCUUUUCAAAGCAACUUUUUGUAUGUUUUUUCAAAAUGUAACAACUUCCAAUGUUUGACUAGCAUAUAUAUAUACACAACUCUAUCUAAUUCAUUACAUUUAUUAAGGAUAUGUAUGAAAACAAGAUCUCCA